rnacentral:rRNA from 1 species
GGAGUUAGCCGGUGCUUCUUCUGUGAGUGAUGUCCUUCCUGCCGGCUAUUAACCCGCAGGCCUUCUUCCUCACUGAAAGUGCUUUACAACCCGAAGGCCUUCUUCACACACGCGGCAUGGCUGGAUCAGGGUUGCCCCCAUUGUCCAAUAUUCCCCACUGCUGCCUCCCGUAGGAGUCUGGGCCGUGUCUCAGUCCCAGUGUGGCUGAUCAUCCUCUCAGACCAGCUACGGAUCGUCGCCUUGGUGAGCCGUUACCUCACCAACCAGCUAAUCCGACAUAGGCUCAUCCGAUAGCGCGAGGCCCGAAGGUCCCCCGCUUUCCCCCGUAGGGCGUAUGCGGUAUUAGCCUGGGUUUCCCCACGGUUAUCCCCACUACCGGGCAGAUUCCUAUGCAUUACUCACCCGUCCGCCGCUCGCCACCAGGGAGCAAGCUCCCCGUGCUGCCGCUCGACUUGCAUGUGUUAGGCCUGCCGCCAGCGUUCAAUCUGAGCCAUGAUCAAACUCUGA